CAGUCGAACGAGUUCUGAUUAUUGAAAGGUGCUUGCAUCUUGAUUUAAUUUUGAACGAGUGGCGGACGGGUGAGUAACACGUGGGUAACCUGCCCUUAAGUGGGGGAUAACAUUUGGAAACAGAUGCUAAUACCGCAUAAAUCCAAGAACCGCAUGGUUCUUGGCUGAAAGAUGGCGUAAGCUAUCGCUUUUGGAUGGACCCGCGGCGUAUUAGCUAGUUGGUGAGGUAACGGCUCACCAAGGCAAUGAUACGUAGCCGAACUGAGAGGUUGAUCGGCCACAUUGGGACUGAGACACGGCCCAAACUCCUACGGGAGGCAGCAGUAGGGAAUCUUCCACAAUGGACGCAAGUCUGAUGGAGCAACGCCGCGUGAGUGAAGAAGGCUUUCGGGUCGUAAAACUCUGUUGUUGGAGAAGAAUGGUCGGCAGAGUAACUGUUGUCGGCGUGACGGUAUCCAACCAGAAAGCCACGGCUAACUACGUGCCAGCAGCCGCGGUAAUACGUAGGUGGCAAGCGUUAUCCGGAUUUAUUGGGCGUAAAGCGAGCGCAGGCGGUUUUUUAAGUCUGAUGUGAAAGCCCUCGGCUUAACCGAGGAAGUGCAUCGGAAACUGGGAAACUUGAGUGCAGAAGAGGACAGUGGAACUCCAUGUGUAGCGGUGAAAUGCGUAGAUAUAUGGAAGAACACCAGUGGCGAAGGCGGCUGUCUGGUCUGUAACUGACGCUGAGGCUCGAAAGCAUGGGUAGCGAACAGGAUUAGAUACCCUGGUAGUCCAUGCCGUAAACGAUGAAUGCUAGGUGUUGGA
rnacentral:rRNA from 2 species